GAUGAACGCUGGCGGCGUGCCUAAUACAUGCAAGUCGAGCGAACGGACCAGAAUCUUGUUUCUCUGAUGUUAGCGGCGGACGGGUGUGUAACACGUGUAUAACCUACUUAUAUGUCUGGUAUAACCUCGGGACACCGGAGCUAAUACCGGAUAAUAUUUUGAUCCGCAUGGUUCAAUGGAGAAAGUCGGCCUUGCUGUCACUACUAGAUGCUUACGCGCUGCAUUAGGUAGUUGGUAGGGUCACGGCCUAGCACGGCGACGAUGCAUAACCGAACUGAUAGGCGGAUCGGCGGCACGAGAGGUGAGACGCGGUCCAGACUACUACGAGAGGCAGCAGUAGGGAAUCUUCCGCAAUGGGCGAAAGCCUGACGGAGCAACGCCGAGUGAGUGAAGGAGGUCUUCGGAGCGUAAAGCUCUGUUAUUAGGGAAGAACAUCUGUGUCCGUAGCCGAAGCCAGCGUGACGGUACCUAAUAAAGAAGCACCGGCUAACUACGUG
rnacentral:rRNA from 1 species